UCUAGAACUCGAGAUAUGGGCUGAACACUAAGCAGUAUCUAGGUUGCAAGAUAGAUUUCAACUUCUCUUUUGUUGCUACAAUUUGAACUUGAAAAUAACCGUUUUAAAUCUUGGAAUCUUUAUGAAAAUUUUAGGCCUAUGUCUUAGCUUUCCAUC
rfam:Populus trichocarpa scaffold_283_contig_1, whole genome shotgun sequence.